AACGAACGCUGGCGGCAGGCUUAACACAUGCAAGUCGAACGACCCGCUAGGGGAGUGGCAGCUGGGUGAGUAACGCGUGGGGACAUACCCUUUCGUGCGGAAUCGCCCCGGGAAACUGGAAUUAAUACGGCAUACGCCCUACGGGGGAAAGAUUUAUCGGGGAAGGUGUGGUCCGAGUUGGAUUAGCGGGUUGGUGGGGUAAAGGCGUACGAAGGCGACGAUACAUAGCUGGUGUGAGAGGAAGAGCAGCCACAUUGGGGCUAAGACACGGCCCCAACUCCUACGGGAGGCAGCAGUGGGGAAUAUAGGACAAUGGGCGCAGGCCUGAUCCAGCCAUGCCGCGUGAGUGAUGAAGGCCUUAGGGAUGUAAAGCUCAAUCACCGAUGAAGAUAAUGACGGUAGUCGGAGAAGAAGCCCCGGCUAACUUCGUG
rnacentral:rRNA from 1 species